rnacentral:rRNA from 1 species
GCCUCUUGGUCUGGGACAACUGUUGGAAACGACAGCUAAUACCGGAUAUUAUGAGAUUCUCGCAUGGGAAACUUAUGAAAGCUAUAUGCGCCAAGAGAGAGCCUUGCGUUCCAUUAGCUAGUUGGUGGGGUAACGGCCCACCAAGGCGACGAUGGAUAGCCGGCCUGAGAGGGUGAACGGCCACAAGGGGACUGAGACACGGCCCUUACUCCUACGGGAGGCAGCAGUGGGGAAUAUUGGACAAUGGGCCACAAGCCUGAUCCAGCAAUUCUGUGUGCACGAUGAAGGUCUUCGGAUUGUAAAGUGCUUUCAGUUGGGAAGAAGAAAGUGACGGUACCAACAGAAGAAGCGACGGCUAAAUACGUGCCAGCAGCCGCGGUAAUACGUAUGUCGCAAGCGUUAUCCGGAUUUAUUGGGCGUAAAGCGCGUCUAGGCGGAAAAAUAAGUCUGAUGUUAAAAUGCGGGGCUCAACUCCGUAUUGCGUUGGAAACUGUUUUUCUAGAGUACUGGAGAGGUGGGCGGAACUACAAGUGUAGAGGUGAAA